UCUCCUCUUCGGCCGCUCUUUUCUUCCUCUUUCCUGGCUCAGAUCCUAAACUCCCAGUAAUUUCCCCACCUCAUCUCAUUUUCCAAUGGAACAGAGGUUCUUGGAACCUCCUCCUUAUCCUCCAUUAGUAAAGUUUCAGCUUUGUAUCCCUCACUUCAGUCUCAUACGUGAAGAAGCAGCUGGUAAUCCCCCACUGCAUUAGCUUGGGAGGGUAUGAAAACCUCGCAUCCCUUUCUCCCCCUCUCUCUUUGUAUCCCUCACUUAAAGCAUGUUUUCCCCACCAAGAAACAUCUUUCCAUCCAUUUGUUUGUUUCAACAGAAUAUUAACAUUCUGCAAACUGUAUUUCCAAAUCUAAACAUAACAUUUUCCUUCCCCAUGGAAAGGUUUCUUUUCUUUUUCUUUUUCCCCCUCUUUCACGUAAUACUCUCAUUCAUAUGGGGGUUUUGAAGAAAAGAAAACCGGUCAGACAGAUGAGAGCGGGUCCAAAAGCAGGGCAGCCACAUCGCUUGCCAUCCAUUUCUCCUCGAUAAACCUCAUUCUGUGCUGCUGGAGAAGAGGAGAGUGAAGAUCAUGGUCACCAGCCUGCCGAACGGGGAACGCAGGAUCGAUGAAGUAGACGAAGGAGUUUUCUAUUGUGUUUGGUGUCAACUUCGUGCUCGUUACCUUCUUUCCUACGGGGAUACGCUCCUUGCUUGUAAGCAAGGGUACGUGAGAAUUCUUGUUGGAUAUAUGUGGGUUUCGUGUGUUUAAGGAUUCUUGAAUAAUUUCGUUCUUUUGUC